GGCACUUUGUCCUAAGUGAGUUUGUUCUCAGCUCAUGGAUUCUAGAAAAUCUGAUAUCCUGGCUAGGCAGAAAGGAGAAAAUAUUCUCCAUUUCUCUUCCUGCCCUCAGUGUCCAGAAGCUGAUUUGUGUGGACAACGUCAGCCAGGCUCCCUUGCCCUCUGCAUUCCAGCGGAGUUCAGCCAACAGCAGUUUGGGGUAUUUAUUCCUGGGGCUCCCUCCUGGUGGGAACAAAUCCCUGCCUCCCUGUUCCACAGUGCAGACAGACAGAUAUGCCACGUGCAGUCGAUGGGGAUAAAGAGGUCCACUGAAGAUGACUCGGAGGAAGAAUUGUCUCCAUUGUUCCAGAAUGGCAUGCUUUGGUUCACAAGAAUCAUAAGAAGAAGUCAUGUGCAAGACUUCUAGGGAAAAUGGACAUUCCUCCUUGGACAUCAAGGUUAAUUAUUUUCAUACAGAGAAUUUACAAUAGAUCUUCUCUGGCAGCUCCGGGGGCCAGACCUCGCUGUGGAGAGAAACAUUCCCAGAAAAGUGGUAGGCAAUUUUGGAGGUAUGCUAACUCUCUCAUGAUACCAGAGCAUUAGUUAGGACAUUUUCUACAUUGAAGAUAUUUGUUUUCUAUUGUGAUAGUCAUAGAAAUAUUCAUUAACCUUCAAGUUUACACGUGGCAUUGCUUGCGAUUACAUUAUAUAAUCACCAUUGUUAUUGUAUUAUUAAUGUGUAGCCCUCAAAUCUGUUUUGAAACUGAUAAGAUAAAAUUGUAAGUAAAUGUGGAUGUCUUCUGUGGAAAUGCAGUUUUUAUUUCAUGCUAAUGUGAAAUAAUGAAAUCUUUUCCCUAAUUGGAAAGAUUAACUCCUUGGGGUCCAUGACACAAUUUCAAGGUUACCAUUUUCUUCAGGUGAAUGGGAAAUCUAAGGCAUGAGAAAAUGGAUAGGCAAUGGAAAUACCACUGUAGUAAGAUGCAGAAAAUCUGGGUCCUAAUCCUGGCUCUGCAGUGUAUUAAUGAUGUGAUCUUGAAUAAAUCAAUUAAUCUCUCUAAAUUUAGGCUUCCC
rnacentral:lncRNA from 1 species